rnacentral:rRNA from 1 species
AACGAACGCUGGCGGCAGGCCUAACACAUGCAAGUCGAGCGCGCCCUUCGGGGUGAGCGGCGGACGGGUGAGUAACGCGUGGGAACGUGCCCUUUUCUACGGAAUAGCCUCGGGAAACUGAGAGUAAUACCGUAUACGCCCUUUGGGGGAAAAAUUUAUCGGAAAAGGAUCGGCCCGCGUUGGAUUAGGUAGUUGGUGGGGUAAUGGCCUACCAAGCUGACGAUCCAUAGCUGGUUUGAGAGGAUGAUCAGCCACACUGGGACUGAGACACGGCCCAGACUCCUACGGGAGGCAGCAGUGGGGAAUCUUAGACAAUGGGGGCAACCCUGAUCUAGCCAUGCCGCGUGAGUGAUGAAGGCCUUAGGGUUGUAAAGCUCUUUCAGCUGGGAAGAUAAUGACGGUACCAGCAGAAGAAGCCCCGGCUAACUCCGUG